CGGACCGGCGGACGGGUGCGUAACGCGUAUGCAACCUGCCUGACACAGGGGGAUAAUCCGAAGAAAUUUGGUCUAAUACCCCAUAAUACCGAUAUAGGCAUCUAUGUUGGUUGAAAGCUUUGGUGGUGUCAGAUGGGCAUGCGUUGUAUUAGCUAGUUGGUGAGGUAACGGCUCACCAAGGCGACGAUACAUAGGGGGACUGAGAGGUUAACCCCCCACACUGGUACUGAGACACGGACCAGACUCCUACGGGAGGCAGCAUG
rnacentral:rRNA from 1 species